UCGCGUGUGUGAAGAAGGCCUUAUGGUUGUAAAGCACUUUAAGCGAGGAGGAGGCUACUUUAGUUAAUACCUAGAGAUAGUGGACGUUACUCGCAGAAUAAGCACCGGCUAACUCUGUGCCAGCAGCCGCGGUAAUACAGAGGGUGCGAGCGUUAAUCGGAUUUACUGGGCGUAAAGCGUGCGUAGGCGGCUUAUUAAGUCGGAUGUGAAAUCCCCGAGCUUAACUUGGGAAUUGCAUUCGAUACUGGUGAGCUAGAGUAUGGGAGAGGAUGGUAGAAUUCCAGGUGUAGCGGUGAAAUGCGUAGAGAUCUGGAGGAAUACCGAUGGCGAAGGCAGCCAUCUGGCCUAAUACUGACGCUGAGGUACGAAAGCAUGGGGAGCAAACAGGAUUAGAUACCCUGGUAGUCCAUGCCGUAAACGAUGUCUACUAGCCGUUGGGGCCUUUGAGGCUUUAGUGGCGCAGCUAACGCGAUAAGUAGACCGCCUGGGGAGUACGGUCGCAAGACUAAAACUCAAAUGAAUUGACGGGGGCCCGCACAAGCGGUGGAGCAUGUGGUUUAAUUCGAUGCAACGCGAAGAACUUACUGGU
rnacentral:rRNA from 1 species